ensembl:lncRNA
UUUUUUUUUUUUUUUCUCUUGGCACACCCACAGCAUGUAGAAGUUCCCAGGCCAGGGAUCGAACCUGUGCCACAGCAGUGACAACAAUGGAUCCUUCACCCACUUAGCCACCAGGGAACUCCCAUAAUUCUUAAGAUAGGUAGAGUCAUUGUGUAUUCUCAAAGAAAUUUUAAUUGGCAUCCAUUUAUUUGUCAGUUUCUUUUGUGCACCUAAGUGGUAGGUCUUUAGUACUUGUUGGAACACGGUCUGCCAGUCACAACAGAUAUACAGAUGAAUAACUCUGUCCCUGUCUCUGCAAAGUCAUCACGUGAUGUAACAGAAGCACCAAGAUGGUGGGGUUUAGGCAUCAGGGGUGGCUUCCUGGAGGUGGUGGCUGAGUCUUGGACAAGCAGAGUCACUAGACAAGAGAACACACAGCUCUCUGGGCUUUUCAUGCAAUGAUUAGCAACAGAACAAGCCAAAAGCAGCUGCUGAAGCCCCACCACACUGAGGAUGUUUCUAGAAACCAUUUCUUUUGAAGAAGGAAUCUAUAGUUAGCUUUAGUGGGGAAAAGAAGAUAUGGGACCAAUAUUAACGAAGUCCCAGAAAAUGGCAUCUCUCCACCAAUUAUUUGACUUCUAUAGUGUGCCCUGUUUGGGUGCUUUAAACCCAUCAUGGUUAUUCCUCAAACAAAAUAAAAGUUUGUUAUUGUGACUUCCCUCUUAUAGAUGAGGAAACACAAGGUCAGAAACAUUAAAUGGCAUGGUCAUGGCUAACAUGGGAAGGCCUCUAGGCUCCAGGCAGUGUUCUAGGGAUUUUUAAUGUUUGAUCUCAUUUCAUCAUGUUUGUAACCCUCUGAACCCUUUACCAGUUGAGGAAACCGAGGCACAGAGAUACCAGGUGACUUGCCCACAGUUACCAAUCACUGGCAGAGCAGGCAUUGCCACCAAGCAGUCUGGCUCCCCAGUCCACACCCCUGGCCAUGAGACUAUCAAUGGCCUGUGUCCUUUCAGCUAUAGAUGAGCCAAAACAGACAUGCUUGGGGGGGAUUGUUUUCAGUAUAAAUUAAUUCUCCACUGUUGAACAUUUUGCUUUCUUUAGAAGAGUUCCUCUCAUGCCAUGUAGUGCUAUUUAGUUUAUUAAAAUAGCACCUUGCAUGUCUGUUGUCUUAUUUCCAAGACUGUGUCCACUGCUUGAAGUGUGUAUUUGCUAUGACUAUGUAGAGAGAUGGAGCGAAAAUACCUGUCUUCCCCCAAAGGUAUGAGAUUGAAGACCUACUCCUGGGUGAUGAAAUGUUCCAAUGGAGCAGGAAGACUGUCAGAGUCUAACUUCACCAUGUGAGGGUUUCCCAGGGUGGGUCACUCACUGGAUAUGCAUUUCCAGCAUUCCAGAGGGCAGAUGCAGAUCAGGCUGAGCAAAGGAGGCGCCGUCAGGGAAGCUGGAGCUGGCGCGGAUGUGAGUGCAGGUAACAACACGGAGGGAGCAUCUGGAUACAGGAUGCUCUAGGCAGGGCUGAAAGACAGGUGGGCAGCCUGGGGGAGGGGGUGUCCUCAGAGUAGGCCCAGCAAAUGCUUCCUCUAAAAGGACAGACAGUAAAUAUUUUCAAUGCUGUAGGUGGGACCUCAUGGUGUGAAACAAUGGGCAUGGCUGUGUAUCCCAAUAAAACUUUAUUUACAAAGACGGGCUAUGGGUGAGAUGCAGCUGCAGGCUAUAGGCUGUCCCUGCCUCAGAGCCUAGGGCUGAAGGGAGGAAACAGGAUGCCAGGAGCCUGUGUGGCAGGAGACUAGCCUUGCCUGGGAGCAGGCUGCCAGGUGACAAAGAGCCAAGAGUCAUUGAUCACUGGCCUGAAUGAUAUGGGACUUGACUCCUCCAAAGUCCAGGGUGCCUCUAAGGGUCAGGCAGCUCCACUUGGAGGCAAAAAGGGCAGCACUGGCCUUCACAGGAGUUGUCACCUGGAGGGACAGCAGCACCAGCCUUUGCCAGAACUACACCUGCUGGUAUCCACAUAGCCCCUCACACUAUGUGCUGGUUGCAGGGGAUGUUGAAUGACAAAGGAUGUGGGAGGAUGUGGCCUUUCCAUGCCAUCCCUGGGUGGAGCAACUGGACAGAGGAGACCCUUGCCCUUCACCAUACGGAACAUCGAUUAAUUGUAUAUGGUUCUACUCCCAGACCCCUGGGCCAACCCUCUGUUGGAGUCAACGAAGAAUGAAGGAUAAGAGCACAGAAACUAGCUAUUCAUUGGCUGAGCUGAUAGGAAAACAGGAGUCUGCCGCAGCCCAAGCACAGAUGGAGGCAGGGGUCCUGGGAGUAAACAGGGCUGAAGUGAGGGUCUCCCAGGAGGUGAACCCCGUGACCUCGACCUUGGCAAGGAUGCUGUGUAGGAUGAGGCAGAAGGAAAGAGACAACCCUGGCCAUGCUGGGAAUCCAACAGGAGACCCUUGCAUAAAGCUCAGUCCCAGAGGAGGGCUCUGUUCAGUGUGGAUGGGCAUGACACAGAGUGGAGAAGAAUCACACAGAAGGAACUGGAAGAGAUUUGCCUUUUUUGAUCCAAGGGAGAAAAAUAAUUACUCCCAAACUGUCCUCAUCACAAGAUGGUCUUCACAUGGGUCUUACGCCCAAAUGUCAUCUGUGUGGUUUAAAAUCUGUAAGAGAGAAUUUAAAGUGGUUCCAGCUCGAGAGGACUCAGGUGCAGAGCAGAACAAACACAAAUCCUCUUUAGAGGAAAGUAACCUUAACCCGAGCUUCAAAAAAGUUCUGACAGGUCAAGUUCCAAGGAAUAUGAACCCACUCAAAAUCCAUGAAAUGUGCAAGGAGAAAGGGGACUUGCAGAAGCAAUCAAGAGCAAAGUCAGAGUCACAGUGAUUCCAGGUAUUGGAAGGAUCAUCCCUGGACUAUAAAGUAAAUAUGUUGAAUAACUUUAAAGAUAUAAAUAAGAGGCUUGAACAUAAAAGCAAGGAACAAGUAAUUAUUUAAAAAGAAGGACUCGAGAAAUUUUGAAUUUUUUUUUCUUUUUAGGGCCACACGUGCAGCAUAUGAAAGUUCCCAGGCUAGGGGUCGAACUGGAGCUGCAGCUAUCAGCUUAGGCCACAGCCACAGCAACACUGGAUCCGAGCCACAUCUGAGACCUACACCACAGCUCAUGGCAAUGCCAGAUCCUUAACCCACUGAGCGGGGCUAGGGAUGGAACCCAAAUCCUCAUGGAUGCUAGUUGGGGUCCUUACUGUGGAGCCACAAUGGGAGUUCCCAAUUUUGAAAUUUUGACAAAGGAAAAAAGAAUAAGAAUAUAAUAAUAAUAAAAAAAAAGUCUACUGGUUCAAAUUGAGACACAGGUGGAACAAGAAUGAGUAAAGAGAGAUUUGGAGAAAUUAGCCAGAUUAAAGACUAGAGAAACAAAAAGAUGGAAAAUAUAAAAGGGAGCUAAGAGAUACAGAGGAGAGUCAGGUCCAGCAGACAGAGACCUAAAUGGCUCUAGUAAGAGAGCCUGGACAGCAGGAGGAACAGGAAAUACACAAAAGAAAAAUUUCCAACAUUUGUGAAAAAUGUGAAUCUUUGGAUUCAGGAUGCCCAAUAAUCCUAAGUGGAGUAAAUAAAAAUGUGUCUACUUCUAAAGACAAUCACCAUGAAAUUGCAGACUAGCAAAGACAAAGAGAGGACCUUACAGGCAGCCAGACAGGGAAAAUGUUGAUCACCUAAAAAAGGAACAGCAGCUGGGCUGCUGCCAGACUUUACAAGCACGGCAGUGGAAGCUGGAUGACAGGGAGAGGUUAACUUCCAUAUGAUGAGAGAACAUAACUAUCCCCUGAGAAUUUUUUUACCUCCAAAAAUGUCUUCUAAGAAUUGAGAUAUUUCAGAGCAGGGGAAAAAAAAAAAAAAAAAAAAAAAAAAGGAGUUUCCACUCACAAACUCUCACUAAAUUAAAUUCUAAAGGAUAUCCUUCAGACAGAGGGAAAUUAUCCUAGAUGAGAGUUCUGAGAGGCAAAAAAAUGAUGGAAAGAGAUACUGUGCUUUACAAAACAGCAAUACUAAUAAUGACCAAUGUAGAUGCAAAAAAGGGAAAUAUAAAAUGCAGGAUAACAAUAGCAUGUAAGCAAUACAUCAUUCUAUAUAUACAUAUUAUAUAUAUACGUUUUUAUUUUUUAGGGAUGCACCUGAGGCAUAUGACAUUUCCCAGACUAGGGGUCGAAUUGGAGCUGUAGCCACCAGCCUAUGCCACAGCCACAGCAAUGCCAGAUCCAAGCCACGUCUGCAACCUACAACACAGCUCACAGCAACGCCAGAUCCUUAACUCACUGAACAAGGCCAGGGAUUGAACCUGUGUCCUCAUGGAUGCUAGUCGGGUUUGUUAACCACUAAGCCACAAUGGGAACUCCUCGAGUUUUAUAUUUUUAAGUGACCAAAUCUAACAAACGAAAAAACAGGUCCAAAAGACACGGCAGGAGAUAAGGGACAAAAAUCAAAGUGUGAGGUCUCUUCAUGGACACAGAGUUCCACAGCCCCUGACAGCCCCCUGAGCGAGAACAAGGGCUGGGAUCUCACAUUCCCUCCAAAUCCAAAAGGCACACUUUGGUUUUUGCUUUCCUUUUAAAGGCUUUUGUCUUUGGGGGAAAGAAGAAAAGUAUUAUUAAUAUUGAACGGUUAAGUAUUCAUGUUAAAAUACUAGGGUAAUCAUUAAACCCAGAAGCAUGGAUAUUAUAAAUUCAAAUUAGAGGGAAGAAUGUAAUGAAAUGGAAAAAAAUCUCAAAGGAGGGAGAAAAAAAGGAAGCAGAAAAAUUGGGACAGAUAUAAAGUAUACUAUAAAAUAAUUAAAAACUUAAAAUGUCUCCGUAAUCUUAACAAAGAUAUGGAGCAGUCUCUCCAGUUUAAAAAAGUGAUCAUCAGAUGUGCUUUUAAAGAAACCAGCAAAUGUUGUUUAUGAGAAAUGUUUCUGAAGUAUAAGGACAGAGAACUAAAGAGUAAAAGGAGAAAAAACAAAUACCAGAUAAAUACUAACAAAAGAAAUAGGUUGUACCUCUAUUAAUACCAGACAGUGAGACUUUAAGGCAAUGAGCACAACUGGAAAUAAAAGAGGAUCACAAAAUACAACGAAGAUUUCAAUUCACCUGGAAGAAAAGAUAAUCCCCAAUUUGUAUGCACUUAACAAUACAGCAUCAAAAUAUAUAAAGCAAAAAGUACUUAACCACAAGGAGAAACUGACAACUCCUCUAUCACAGUCACAAAUUUCUGAUGUAUCUCAUUUCAUAAAUGAUCUAUCAAGCAAUACAACAACUGAGACAUAUGAAAUUGAACAGCACAGAUCUAAUAGACAUAUAUACAAAAUACUGCACCCAAUAAGGGGAGACUAAACACUCUUUUCAAGCACAGAUAUUGAGCAUCUAGAAAGUUGCUUCUUUAGGUCUAUUUUUCAGGCUCUCACAGAGGAUUUGGAACAAUCAUUUCAAAUUUGACCAUCUAUAAGGUGACCAGAUAUCACACUGGUUACAAAAUAAGUUAAUCUGUAAAAUGUUGCCUUUAGAAUGGUGUGCCUGAUGUCACCAAGCCCUGCUUUCCUCACUCACACUCAGUUCCCUGGACAUUACCUCAAAGCAAAUAAGAAACAGCAUAGAAGCUAUAACAACCAAAAUGACCACUGAGAAUCUAGAGAAAAGAUUUCUUUCCUCUAGAAUUUUGGACGGAUGAGGACUUGUAACUGUCUAGAAUGUAAGUCCAGGGAGAACAAUAACUUUUUAUCACUCUCUGUAUUAUAGUAAAUACAUUUUUCAUACAGGUGAACAAAAAUGAUACCCUGCCACCAGGUGAACUCUUGCCUUUCUUUGUGGUGCUGUAAUAAUUCUCAACUUCCUGUUUUAUAGUCUAUUUGGCAAGUGAGUAGCCUAAUCAUCUGGCAUUCAGGUUCAGACACGAUUUGCAAGAAGAAAGCAUCUGGGUCAGCCAGGGUAACUCUCUCUGAGAUAAAGAGG